rnacentral:rRNA from 1 species
GGUUAACGCUGGCGGCGUGCCUAACACAUGCAAGUCGAACGGUUCUAAGCGCGAGCUUAGGAUAGUGGCGAACGGGUGAGUAAAAGGUAGGAAUCUACCCCUUGGACGGAGAUAGCUACUGGAAACGGUAGGUAAACUUCGAUAAGCCCGAGAGGGGAAAGUGGUGAGACAGCCGAGGGAUGAGCCUACUCUCCAUCAGGUAGUUGGUGAGAUAAAGCUUACCAAGCCGAUGACGGAUAACCGGUGUGAGAGCAUGAACGGUCACAAGGGCACUGAGAGACGGGCCCUACUCCUACGGGAGGCAGGCAGUGGGGAAUCUUGGACAAUGGGCGAAAGCCUGAUCCAGCGACGCCGCGUGGAGGAAGAAGUCCUUCGGGGCGUAAACUCCUGGACUGGGGGACGAGGAAGGACGGUACCCCAGUAGAAAGGGACGGCGUAACUACGUGCCAGCAGCCGCGGUAAAGAGUAGUACAA